CAGUAGCCGCGGGAAUACGUAGGGUGCGAGCGUUAAUCGGAAUUACUGGGCGUAAAGCGUGCGCAGGCGGUUGUGUAAGACAGGUGUGAAAUCCCCGGGCUUAACCUGGGAACUGCGCUUGUGACUGCACAGCUAGAGUAUGGCAGAGGGGGGUGGAAUUCCACGUGUAGCAGUGAAAUGCGUAGAGAUGUGGAGGAACACCGAUGGCGAAGGCAGCCCCCUGGGCCAAUACCGACGCUCAUGCACGAAAGCGUGGGGAGCAAACAGGAUUAGAUACCCCCGUAGUCCCUGUCUCUUAUAC
rnacentral:rRNA from 1 species